UUUAUGGAGAGUUUGAUCCUGGCUCAGGAUGAACGCUGGCGGCGUGCCUAAUACAUGUAAGUCGAGCGAACGGAUGAGAAGCUUGCUUCUCUGAUGUUAGCGGCGGACGGGUGAGUAACACGUGGAUAACCUACCUAUAAGACUGGGA
rnacentral:rRNA from 1 species